GUUGUCAGCCGCCGCGGUAAUACCACCUCCCCAAUUGGUCGGGACAAUUAUUGGGCCUAAAGCGCCCGUAGCCGGCCCGGUGUGUCCCCUGUCAAAUCCACCGGCUCAACCGGUGGGCUGCUGGGGAUACUACCGGGCUAGGAGGCGGGAGAGGCCGGGGGUAUUCCCGGGGUAGGGGUAAAAUCCUCUGAUCCCGGGAGGACCGCCAGUGGCGAAGGCGCCCGGCCAGAACGCGCUCGACGGUGAGGGGCGAAAGCUGGGGGAGCGAACCGGAUUAGAUACCCGGGUAGUCC
rnacentral:rRNA from 1 species